rnacentral:rRNA from 1 species
GAUGAACGCUGGCGGCGUGCCUAAUACAUGCAAGUCGAGCGAACGGACGAGAAGCUUGCUUCUCUGCUGUUAGCGGCGGACGGGCGAGUAACACGUGGAUAACCUUCCUAUUAGACUGGGAUAACUUCGUGAAACCGGUGCCAAUAAUGCCUCAUAUUUUGUACCGCAUGGUUCAAAAGUGAAAGACGGUCUUGCUGUCACAUAUAGCUGGAUCCGCGCUGCAUUAGCUAGUUGGUAAGGUAACGGCCUACCAAGGCAACGAUGCAUAGCCGACCUGAGAGGAUGAUCGGCCACACUGGAACUGAGACACGGUCCAGACUCCUACGGGAGGCAGCAGUAGGGAAUAUUGCGCAAUGGGCGAAAGCCUGACGGAGCAACGCCGCGUGAGUGAUGAAGGUCUUCGGGUCGUAAAGCUCUGUUAUUAGGGAAGAACAUAUGUGUAAGUAACUGUGGACAUCCUGACGGUACCUAAUCAGAAAGCAACGGCUAACUACGUG